CCCGCUCAGAAACUCAAGGAAUUGACGGGGGCCCGCACAAGCGGUGGAGCAUGUGGUUUAAUUCGAUGAUACGCGAGGAACCUUACCUGGGCUCAAAUGUAUGUUGACGUAUUCUGAAAGGGAUACUUCUUCGGACAAUAUACAAGGUGCUGCAUGGUUGUCGUCAGCUCGUGCCGUGAGGUGUCGGGUUAAGUCCCAUAACGAGCGCAACCCCUAUCAUUAGUUGCCAUCAGGUCAAGCUGGGGACUCUAAUGAAACUGCCUACGCAAGUAGUGAGGAAGGUGGGGAUGACGUCAAAUCAGCACGGCCCUUACGUCCAGGGCUACACACGUGCUACAAUGGCCGGUACAAAGGGCAGCUACCUGGUGACAGGAUGCUAAUCUCAAAAGCCGGUCUCAGUUCGGAUCGGAGUCUGCAACCCGACUCCGUGAAGCUGGAUUCGCUAGUAAUCGCGCAUCAGCCACGGCGCGGUGAAUACGUUCCCGGGCCUU
rnacentral:rRNA from 1 species